CUGAACACUGGUUUCUCACAGCAGCCCUCUCUUAUUUUCCAAGCUCACACUUGUGUCUUCCAUUUACCUGUGGAAUUAGCUCAACCGGUGCUCCAGGGUCAGAAAUCCUACCUCAUAUGGAUUGCGAUGUGAACCUAUAUAGUCGGAAUAGUUUCUGAUAUCUGCUUGAAUGCCAGAUGGCAACUGCAUUCCUGACCUCUGGGGAAUGUAAAGUCUGUCUGAAGCCGAAGGAGGACUCAGAGCAUCACAGGUCCUGGGGCAGGUACUAAGGAGGCACCUCCAAGGAGGCUGGGCCGUCUGGAAACAGUCAGUCAGGAUUCUGGCGGUGGUAGAGCUGGAGCCCCGGCAUUUUCUGCCGUUGGAUCAUGUCGCUACCAAAAGUGACUCUCGGCUCUUGGGAGGCUGUGGGCCUGUGGUCCCUCAGGCCAGGCUUCUUGGAGCUUGUGAGAGGGUAAGUAAGUGGGGGCCAGGGAAGGGGGCACUU
rnacentral:lncRNA from 1 species